UUCCAAAAUUCAUUCAACUGUCCACUCUUUAUCUAUAAAAAGAUCAUCCACUUCCAUUUUUCUUCAUAUCAUCAUCUCCUCACAGUCUCACACGAUCUAACUAAUUCCAAAUCCCACUCUCUUCUUCUCUGCAGCAAACGUGGAAACCAGAGAGAACGUGAUCGUGAAAGAGCUCAAGCAAGAGGUAAUCAUAAGCCUAAACAACCUAAGAACGAUGGAUUGACUCCUGAACAACGUCGUGAAAGAGACGCAAGAGCAUUGCAAGAGAAGGCAGCUAGAAAGGCAGGACAAUCAAUGGGAGGAGGGAAACAUGACCAUGCCCUUCGCGUUGGUGGUAAAAUUAAGAAAUAAGACGAUGAUCAUGCAGUAGUAGUAGUAGGGCUUUAUGCGAUUUUGUAAUUGUAUGUUAUUUAUUGGUUGGUCAUCUGAAUUAAUUAUAUAUCGCGGAUGGGGCAGGUUUUCAAGAGUUGUGUUCAAGUGUGAUUCUGGUCUUCGUUUAUGAACUUUUUGCUAUACGUCUUAUUCCAAUGGAACGUGUAUGUGUUGAUGUUUCGUUCUUUUGUUUUCGAGUUCUCGGUAUUAAUAUGUUUUGGGUUGUUCUCAA